rnacentral:rRNA from 1 species
GACGAACGCUGGCGGCGUGCUUAACACAUGCAAGUCGAACGGAAAGGCCCUGCUUUUGUGGGGUGCUCGAGUGGCGAACGGGUGAGUAACACGUGAGUAUCCUGCCCUUUACUUUGUGAUAACUUCAGGCAACUGGUGCUACUACCGGAUAGGAGCUCCUGCUGCAUGGUGGGCGUUGGACCGUUUCGGUGGUUGGGGGUGUACUCGCGGCUUAUCAGCUUGUUGGUGGGGUAGUGGCUUACCAAGGCUUUGACGGGUAGCCGGCCUGGGAGGGUGACCGGGGACAUGGGGACUGAGAGACGGCGCAGACGCGUAUGGGAGGCAGCAGUGGGGAAUAUUGUACAACGGGGGGGAGCCUGAUGCAGAAAUGUCGCGUGUGGGAUGACGGCCUUCGGGGUGUAAACCGCUGUCGGCUGUGACGAAGCGGGAGUGACGGUAAUGGGUAAAGAAGCACCGGCUAACUACGUG